AGUCACAUGGACGUCAUCGGUGUUCUUACGAAAUCUGUCGAGUUUUUGUCUGGAGGGGAUCAUCUGCGAAUGACGAAACGGACGAGUAACAGAUAUAGUCAGAAGAGACGCCCAAAGAGUUUGAUAUUAUUAUUAUUAUUUAACCUCACACGUGGGAUAUCUAACUAAAUAAGAGUCAUCAAGAGGAAUUCAUUGAUGCGGUUUACUCACUAAAACGUGAAAUCUAUCCACAGCCUCCCACUCUCCUCUAACUGAUCCCUACCUUGCACUGUAAUUCCAGGUUUUCUUCGUUCCCGUUUGAAUAAGCUUAAACAAACGCACGACUUGCAGGCGAAGCUAUCCUUCAGGAGGCAAAAACGAGAAAGCUCGUCGAGCCAGCCAAAAGAUAGCUCUAAUGACAGAACAAACGGUAAAAUGAAUAUGGAAAUAU